AUGCAAAGAAAAGCCUCUCCCCACAACACCCCUGCCCUAAUACAAUAUGGCAGAAAACUACAACACUGGCAUUAUAGUAACAUUGUAGAGAAAAAAGAGCAGAGUACCAACACGGAUCACCCUCAGCGCCACCAGUGCAGUCAUCCCAACCAGGACCCCAUCAACAGACUACCACCAGGAAAGCGAGAGGUCAUGGAGAAGUAUUUUAAACCGGUUCAGAGCCCAGCUGAGCUGGAUAAGCUCAAGCCACGGAAAAUCCACCAUCAUCGCCAUCAUCACCUUCACCAUAGCCAAGACACUCAGUCACACAGGUACUCGAAGUUUGAUGACACUGACAGGAACACAGAUGACAGCCGAGAGCAGCCUCGCCACCAUCAGCACAGUCACUAUCUCCAUGAAAGCCCUCGCCACGAUGCUCACUAUCCCCGUCAGUUUCACCACAGUGAAGAGGAUGAGAUCAUUUACGACCAUGAUACUUCUGUAACUCUCUCAAGGGCUUCCUCUUCUUCCCUCUCAUCCUCAUCCUCUUCCUCCUGGUACACAGAGUCAAGUGCAAAUGAUCCUUUCACUCUUUGCCACGCUGAGCGCCCACAGCAUUCUCUGUCCUGCUCCAAUAUCCCAGAUGUGCGCAUAGGUUUCCGGGAAGAUGAAUGCAGUGAGCCCAUUGUCUUUGCUACCGUCAAACACAGCAAAAAAGGCAAGCUGCUUCAUGAAAGCUCACAGCAAAGAGGGAACACUGGCUUUUCUGCUCUUGACAGAGGUCACAGUCGGAGCGAUGAAGCCUUUUUUCAGAGUAAUGAUAGUGGUGGAAGAGAACAAUCUAAGCAAAAUAACUAUGGGCCUUUGUAUAAGUCAGCUAGUUUGAACCGAUGUCUGGCUUUCAGUGAGGAAAACAUUCUUUUAGGGGUCUCCAGUGCCCCCAAGAGAGCAGUAUCUUCAAACCAGCUACCCAGCAAAGGGAUCCUCAAGAACAAGGAGACUCAUACUGACAUUCGUAAGACUAAAUCGAUGGAGGUGUUGUCCCCAAGAGUUGCUAAAGAACAUGGUCCUGGGCAGAAGGGUAAAGAAAUUACUCAAGCUAACAUAGAGCAAGCCAGGGCCAAUUUUCUGCAGCAGAAAUUACAGUUCUCUGCUUUUCUAGAUGAGAUUACAAAGAGCGUUAUAAGUCCAUCGUAUCUCACCAGCUUGGGUGUUAAUAAUAAUAAAACUCCUGCAAAAACAUCUGACUCAGCCCCCACAUCUAACCCAGUUAAGCCUCAGCUCCCACCAAAAAAACACAGAAAAGCCCCAGUGGAGGAGACGGGCCAGCAUCCCAAACUGGCCAGCAGACAGGAGAAAGCACCUUUCAGUAGUUCUCGAAAACACUCAGACUGCUCCAAUCCUGACAAACUGAUUUCAUAUGCCAUGAGGAACCACCAUGGUAGCCCACCGCCUCGUCACCACCCGCACUCUGCCAGCCAAAGCCCACACCACGGAAGCAACCGUAAGGACAGGAGGCCUACGUCAGGAGACAGAUUUGGUAGAGGUGGCCCUCACCUCACCGAUGAAACUAGCACCAGCCCUGAAACCAGUCAGUCCAAACAACGCCACCACCACCACCGAAAACAGCAGCAUAGCCAGCAUCCACAUAACCAGCACUUCCACCAACAGUCCUAUCCAGACUCUGGUCACCAAGAACCAAGCAACUCGCCUCCAACUUCAGCCCAAGGUGCAGGGGUCGGAUCUGAGUCUUCAUCCACAAAAUCCGAUUCAUCCAGGGCCAGGGACACAGCCUCCACAGCUACCAGCCACAGCUCAGAUCAGAGUGGUCGACACCAGCCACAACAUGUUGGGCACUCUCAGCAGCACAGGGAUGUGCUGUGUGACGCUGACCAUCUUCAGGCACUGCAGGAGGAGAAUGCUGAUCUCCACCAGAACUUGCUGCAGACAGUGGUUUGCAUUGAGAGCCUGGAGGCAGAGCUGCAGAGGACCAGAGACGAGCUCAGUCACGUCAAGGAGAAAUACAAAAGCCUUCUGCAAACACAUACUGGGACCAAGCAGGCCAAUAACUUGCUGGGGGAGCACCUGCACAUAGCGUCCGAGAGCCUGAGCAGUGAAAGGAAGUACUUGCUCAAUCGUGUGUCCAACCUGAGCUCAGAGCUGGAAGACGCCCACAGGACCAUUGCAGCCCUGGAGAACAUUAAUGUGCCAUGCUUGAUAAAGGAACUACUGAAGAAGCAUUUUGAUUCAGCUGAGGCUGUACAGAAGUUUCUCACAACCACUGCUGCAAACAGCCAUUCUGCCACCUCUCAGCAAACAGAUGGCCAGCCCCACCCUCCUAAAGCAGACAAAGCAGCACACGAUUGGCUGACAAAACCAGAGGCAGGUCCACAGAGGGUCACAGCUUUCACACCCUUUAAACAGAGUGUACCAGCAACAGGAAAUGAAUGCGGCCUCUCGGGUCAGCAUGAGCUGAGCCACAGCCCGCCUUUCUCUGUGGCUGAGAUCAGCACCGCUAUCUAUAAGAAAAUGGCUGCCAGUUAUGCUGCCAGGCCACAGCCUAUCUACCCCCAAAGCCAACAGCAGUCCUCUUUGGCCACUAAUCAUGCUGACACCCUUCCAGACCUCAGGCAGGGCCAUGUAGCUAGUGAUAACUGGGCCGGGAAGGGAGAGUUAAAGGUAACUCUUUUGGAGCAGGACACUGAUGAUGUGAACUCUGUGUCAGCCCAGCAGAUUCUGGAUGAUUUCAUGCAGCACCUACAGUUACACAAGGAGGCUGGUGAGAGGAAGGAGCAACAGAGUGGGCAGAAUUGUAGGGCAGAAGUAACAGAGUGAAAAUGCCACAGGCACAGUGAAUGUUCAUCUUAAUGCUUCGAAAUGUGCAUUUAUUCAUCUGUCUCAUGGAUAUCUGUCAGAUGGAAAUACUGUAUUUUGAAAAUGCUGUGGUUACGAAAACUUGAACAUUAUGUUAUUUUAGGCUAUCUGUGGGUGACAAAGGAAGGCUUUGCAUAAUAGUCAGAAGAUUUUCAUGCACAAAAAGAAAGAAAGAGCCACAGCUACGUCAAAAGAGUGAGAAAAAUGGCAAUAAAAUAACAAAGUAACCAAUUAUUUUAUUAAAAAUAUGCUUAUGCAUAAGUUCCUGUAGUAUUAAUUCACUGUCUAUUUUUUUUUACCUUUUAGUUUUCUUCCAAAUUGAUAGUGAAGGCAAAGUCACAGUGGAUAUCACAUAAUAUGGCAUCUCUAUCUAAAUCCAUCCAUUCACCCAUCUUCAUCCAAGUUAAGGUCAUGGGGGUAGCUGGAGCCUUUCCUAGCAGAUAGGUCACCAGUCGGUUGCAGCGCUGACACAGAGAGACAACUAGGGCCAGUUUAGAAUCACCAGUUCACCUAACCCCACUAAUUGCACAUAGAACCUUCUCGCUAACCAGCUCAUCACCAUGCUGCCCACUUCAUACAGACUACAGAAGUAUUUAAUUGUCUCUGAUAAUAGAUCAUUGACACUGAUGGGAUCAAAUGCGAUCACUUUUAACAAAUUAAAAAAACAGUGAAAGACAGGGAAUUUAAAAGCAGGAUACCUCAAGGCCUUCUGCUAAGUGAACAAUGAAUAUUCAGUGAACGACUUUGAGUGACAUCGAGAAAACAACAUGAGAAAGGAAGCUAAUUCCCCUUUGGAACCCAUUUAAGUCUUGAGUCAGGGCAUCUCUUUCUUAAAGCAGCAGGUUACUGUACCAUCAGUAUCACUAGAGACUGUUUUAAUCUACAUUUAUUCAUAAUAAUUCAGCCAGACUCAGUUGUUCGUGUUUCUGCUAUAUAUUUGUGUAAAAUAACGCUUCAGGGACUGCUUUGGAUGUUUCAAACAGUCUAAAUAGCCCCCAUGUGAAAACCUCUUAAAAUUAAUAAGUGUACAAUGAAAAAUACUAUUUUGAGUUUACUGUGCAUUGAUUGGUUUGUGUAAAUAUCCAGAGAUUCAGUGUAAAUGUCUUUAAUUCAUAAAAAGAAAGUCAAAUAUUAUGAUUCAAAAAUGUUUUCUUUGUAUUAUUGCAGGGUCUUUACCUUACAAUGUAAAGUGCCUUGAGGCAACUGUUGUUGUGCUUUGGCACUAUAUGAAUAAAAUUGGAUUGAAUUGAAUUGUUGACAGGAGAAAAUCUUUUCAAGCUGAUGUAAAUGACAAAUGUAUACAGUUAGAAUACAAAGGCGUGUACAGCUAUUGUGAUGGUGUUGAUAAGCUUAACAGAACGUGUACACCUGGAAUCUAUGUGUUCCUUUAAUUCUGUGCUUAGCAUUCUUCUGGUAUUAAUGUUGUUUUAAUCUAAAUCUCUCUCUACAUUUUGUCAUUAAAAAUACUUCUUUGUGUCUUUGCAGCUAUUCUACCAAUAAAGAUAGUUUUGUUGAUGCAGUAUAUCAGAUUACAAACAUUUGUUCAUUAUUGAUGAUUUCUUCUUCAGUUUCUUGUUGCCAAAUUCAAAUAAUAUAUAGCAUGUUUUUUUUUUUAUAUGCAAACAAAACAAACAAACAAACAAAAAAACCCAAUUGGAAGGUUGUGUUUUAAUCCCCGGCUCCUCCAGCCUGCAUGUAAGUGACCGUGGGCAAGAUAAUGAACUCCGUGUUGCAUUCAUUGAAAUUGAAAUUGAUGACCAUCUUGAGUUUGAGGAACAGAAAUGCAUCUGAAUGUGUGUGCUUCAAUGGGUGAAUGAGGCUUGUAAUAAAAAGUACUUUGAGUGCUCAGUUAGAGAAGCCUUCAGUUAAUCCAAAAUGCUGCAGCAAGAGUACUGACAGGGACUAGAAAUAGAUAGCAUAUUUCUCCUAUACUGGUUUCUUUUCAUUGGCUCCCUGUUAAAUUCAGAAUUGAAUUCAAAAUCCUGCUCCUCACAUACAAAGUCUUGAAUAAUCAGACCUCAUCAUAUUCUAAUGACCUUGUAGUACCAUAUCACCCUAUUAGAGCACUUCGCUCUCGCACUGCAGGCUUACUUGUUGUUCCUAGAGUAUUUAAAAGUAGAAUGGGAGGCAGAGCCUUCAGCUUUCAGGCUCCUCUUCUAUGAAACCAGCUUCCAGUUUGGAUUCAGGAGAUGGAUACCGUCUCUACUUUUAAGAUUAAGCUUAAAACUUUCCUCUUUGCUAAAGCAUAUAGUUAGGGCUGGAUCAGGCAACCCUGAAUCCUCCCUUAGUUAUGCUGCAAUAGGUGUAGGCUGCUGGUAGCUUCCCAUGAUGCUUUAGUAUUUCUUCUUCAUGUGUUAAUAGACCUCUCUGCAUUGAAUUAUACAUUUAUUUUUAAUCUGUGCCUCUCUUUCACAGAAUGUCUUUUGUCCUGUCUUCCUUCUCUCUCCCCAAACGGUCGCAGCAGAUGUCCGUCCCUCCCUGAGCCUGGUUCUGCUGGAGCUUUCUUCCCACUGUCGCCAAAGUGCUUACUCAUAGGGGGUCAUAUGAUUUUGGGGGUUUUUCUCUGUAUGUAUUAUUUUAGGGUCUCCCUUACAAUGUAAAGCACCUUGAGGCAACUGCUGUUGUGAUUUGGUGCUGUAUAAAUCGAAUUGAAUCGAAUUGAAUCAAAUCGAAUCGAAUUGAAAAAAAGUGCUACAUGUACGCUGCUGACAUAUCUGAGAUACAUUAAAAUCUCUGUUGUUAGAAAGCUAAACAGGUUUGCUUGUAAGUUUUAAAUGGCUUUCAAUCUGUCUCACUAUUCGAAAAUAUAGCUGCAAG
rnacentral:lncRNA from 1 species